rnacentral:rRNA from 1 species
GAUGAACGCUGACAGAAUGCUUACCACAUCAGCAAUUGAUUGGUGGCGGACGGGUGAUUACCGCGUCAAGAACUUGCCUCACAGGUCGGGACAAAAUUUGGAAACUAAUGCUAUCCCUAAUACUGUGAGAGAGAUUUGCGUCCCAGUAGCUAGUUGGAGAGGUAACGGCUCACGAAGGCGAUGAUGGGUAGCCGGCCUGAGAGGGUGAUGGGCCACAAGGGGACUGAGACACGACCCUUACUCCUACGGGAGGCAGCAGUGGGGAAUAUUGGACAAUGGACCAAAGGCUGAUCCAGCAAUUCUGUGUGCACGAUGAAGUUUUCGGAAUGUAAAGGGCUUUCAGUUGGGAAGCGGUACCAACAGAAGAAGUGACGGCUAAAUACGUGCCAGCCGCCGCGGUAAUUC